ACAUAGUUACAUAGUUACAUAGCUGAAAAGAGACUUGCGUCCAUCAAGUUCAGCCUUCCUCACAUUUGUUUUUUGCUGUUGAUCCAAAAGAAGGCAAAAAAAACCCAGUUUGAAGCACAAUUUUGCAACAAGCUAGGAAAAAAAAAAUUCCUUCUUGACCCCAGAAUGGCAGUCAGAUUUAUCCUUGGAUCAAGCAGUUAUUACCCUACAGUGA